GAUGAACGCUGGCGGCGUGCCUAAUACAUGCAAGUCGAGCGAACGGACGAGAAGCUUGCUUUUCUUAUGUUAGCGGCGGACGGGUGAGUAACACGUGGAUAACCUACCUAUAAGACUGGGAUAACUUCGGGAAACCGGAGCUAAUACCGGAUAAUAUUUUGAACCGCAUGGUUCAAAAGUGAAAGACGGUCUUGCUGUCACUUAUAGAUGGAUCCGCGCUGCAUUAGCUAGUUGGUAAGGUAACGGCUUACCAAGGCAACGAUGCAUAGCCGACCUGAGAGGGAGACCGCCCACACGGAAACUGACACCCGGCCCAGACUCCAAGGGGGGGCAGCAGAGGGAAUUCUCCCGCAAGGGCGAAAACCCGGACGGCGCAACGCGGCGGGAGAAAUGAGGGUCUUGGAUCCGAAAACCUCGUUUAUGGGGGAAAACAAUAUGUAAAAAUACCUGGCCACAUCUAGCCGGACCCAAACAAAAAACCCGGGCCAACCAACG
rnacentral:rRNA from 1 species